GAUCGUCGCCGCCACAACGAGGCGAAAAGUUAUAUAAUCCCUUCGCGGGAAUCACAGUGCGCGGUUUGUGAGUGAUUUUCACCGGUGGUUUAAUUCGGGAACCGAAAUUCACCCGAAAUCGUUCACCGUGAGGUAAAUCCGGUUUCGAGACGCCGGCAACAAACACACCACGAUGCAGGCAUAACCUCACUUCCAUCGCAGGUCAGGAAAAAGUUCCAGAAUCACGCAGGAAGGUAGACGGUCCAAGAAAGCACGGCACCGAACGCAAGUUGACUUCAGUCAACGGGCCGCCAAUCGAAGGGCAAAGGAUCACCCGAAGGUCAGAACAAAACCACGGGGAAGUGAACCAAACAUACAUCCGUCGGAGAUCGGUUACAAUUCCGUCAGAGCCAAAACACCCCUUUCGCUGGGGUGUUUCUAUGGGAGCUGAGCUGCGCAUGCUGAAGGACGAUUUGUGCUUGUGUUGAUCCGGUGACUGUCGCGUGGAAUUGGUGAAAGGCAUGCGGCCUCGUCAGCAUCUACUGCCUCGGAGGGAUCCCAUCCAGUACACGGUCGACUGGAUGGCCAGAGGGAUCUCCAGCAGAGGAGUCGCGCAGAGAAGGAAGUUUGCCAGCACGAAGAGGUCGGAGGCGCAGUUGUCCCAGUGAUCUCGUCGUCGCCAUCAAGGAGGGAAUUUACCGGCAUUUCCACCGCUAGUGCCGCCAGUCCGUCACAACCGCAAACGGAGGGUUGGAGACGAGACAUCAAGCAGGAGCGAUUGAUGGCGAAUCGUCGCAGAUUAUGGAGUUGUGCGGGUGAGGCGAGACGAGGGGGACACCCCGCAGUUCGUGAGUACGAAAACAAAAAUGUUAGCGUGUAAGAAGAUGUGAAUAGAGAAAGAGUAGAGGAGUUAGGCCAAGAAGUAGGAGGCUA